GUAGGUGAACCUGCGGAAGGAUCAUUAUCGAGUUAGGGUUCCUUUACGGGCCCGACCUCCAACCCGGUGUCUAAACUUACCACUGUUGCUUCGGCGGGCCCGCCUGUAAAAGGGCCGCCGGGGGUGCCCGUCACCUCUGGCCCGCGCCCGUCGAUAGCCCACAACAAACUCUUUUAAACCGUGUCCUGUCUGAAUAAACCAAAAAAUUAAGCACAAAACUUUCAACAACGGAUCUCUUGGUUCUG
rnacentral:misc_RNA from 1 species